GACGAACUUUGGCGGCGUGCUUAACACAUGCAAGUCGAACGGAAAGGCCCUGCUUUUGUGGGGUGCUCGAGUGGCGAACGGGUGAGUAACACGUGAGUAACCUGCCCUUGACUUUGGGAUAACUUCAGGAAACUGGGGCUAAUACCGGAUAGGAGCUCCUGCUGCAUGGUGGGGGUUGGAAAGUUUCGGCGGUUGGGGAUGGACUCGCGGCUUAUCAGCUUGUUGGUGGGGUAGUGGCUUACCAAGGCUUUGACGGGUAGCCGGCCUGAGAGGGUGACCGGCCACAUUGAGACUGAGAUACGGCCCAGACUCCUACGGGAGGCAGCAGUGGGGAAUAUUGCACAAUGGGCGGAAGCCUGAUGCAGCAACGCCGCGUGCGGGAUGACGGCCUUCGGGUUGUAAACCGCUUUCGCCUGUGACGAAGCGUGAGUGACGGUAAUGGGUAAAGAAGCACCGGCUAACUACGUGCCAGCAGCCGCGGUGAUACGUAGGGUGCGAGCGUUGUCCGGAUUUAUUGGGCGUAAAGGGCUCGUAGGUGGUUGAUCGCGUCGGAAGUGUAAUCUUGGGGCUUAACCCUGAGCGUGCUUUCGAUACGGGUUGACUUGAGGAAGGUAGGGGAGAAUGGAAUUCCUGGUGGAGCGGUGGAAUGCGCAGAUAUCAGGAGGAACACCAGUGGCGAAGGCGGUUCUCUGGGCCUUUCCUGACGCUGAGGAGCGAAAGCGUGGGGAGCGAACAGGCUUAGAUACCCUGGUAGUCCACGCUGUAAACGGUGGGUACUAGGUGUGGGGUCCAUUCCACGGGUUCCGUGCCGUAGCUAGCGCUUUAAGUACCCCGCCUGGGGAGUACGGCCGCAAGGCUAAAACUCAAAGGAAUUGACGGGGCCCCGCACAAGCGGCGGAGCAUGCGGAUUAAUUCGAUGCAACGCGUAGAACCUUACCUGGGUUUGACAUGGAUCGGGAGUGCUCAGAGAUGGGUGUGCCUCUUUUGGGGUCGGUUCACAGGUGGUGCAUGCCUGUCGUCAGCUCGUGUCGUGAGAUGUUGGGUUAAGUCCCGCAACGAGCGCAACCCUUGUUCACUGUUGCCAGCACGUUAUGGUGGGGACUCAGUGGAGACCGCCGGGGUCAACUCGGAGGAAGGUGGGGAUGACGUCAAGUCCUCAUGCCCCUUAUGUCCAGGGCUUCACGCAUGCUACAAUGGCUGGUACAGAGAGUGGCGAGCCUGUGAGGGUGAGCGAAUCUCGGAAAGCCGGUCUCAGUUCGGAUUGGGGUCUGCAACUCGACCUCAUGAAGUCGGAGUCGCUAGUAAUCGCAAAUCAGCAACGCUGCGGUGAAUACGUUCCCGGGGCU
rnacentral:rRNA from 1 species